AGAGUGAACGCUGGCGGUAGGCCUAACACAUGCAAGUCGAACGGCAGCACAGUGGUAGCAAUACCAUGGGUGGCGAGUGGCGGACGGGUGAGGAAUACAUCGGAAUCUACCUUUUCGUGGGGGAUAACGUAGGGAAACUUACGCUAAUACCGCAUAAGACCUUCGGGUGAAAGCCGGGGACCUUCGGGCCUGGCGCGGAUAGAUGAGCCGAUGUCGGAUUAGCUUGUGGCGGGUAAAAGCCCACCAAGGCGACGAUCCGUAGCUGGUCUGAGAGGAUGAUCAGCCACACUGGAACUGAGACACGGUCCAGACUCCUACGGGAGGCAGCAGUGGGGGAAUAUUGGACAAUGGG
rnacentral:rRNA from 1 species